AACAGAUCUAAAUUUCGUAAUGACCCCAACAAGAUGAAAGAGAUUAGAAAAGCUGCUGCUGAGAAGUCGAAAAAAGCAGUUGGAAAAUCAUCAAGAUUAUCCAAAAAAGAUGAUUCUGGACAUCCACGUCUUCCUAAGGGUAUGAAAUACAGGAUAAGAAAGGUCCCUGUGCAUUCGUUGCAUUUUGAUAGUUAUUGCAAUCGAAAAUUUGGAGAAGAAAUAAAAAAUUAUCUUGGUGAAGAAGUUGUAAAUUUGUUUCGGUAAAUAAUUUUUGGUUCAUUACUAGACCCCGAAUUGUAUUAUCAGGGUCAAUUAUUCAAAUGCUUACUCUUGCUUGAGAUAGAACAAGACAAUCCGGAUGAAAUACACGUUUACAUGCAAGAAAUCACACUCAAGUUUACUAUUAUUGAGUAUGCCAUUAUAUCCGAUCUUAAAUAUUCAGGAAACAUCGAGGAGCACCUCUUUUCUGUUACAUCAAAGUCCGCAUUAAUGAUGAAGUAUUUUUCAGGAUCUAAGGGUUCUGUCAAAAGGAGUCUCUUUAUAGAGCGUUUCAAGAUGGGCAACUUUGAAAAUAAUUCUGAUGUACUAAAUAUGUCAAUAAUUUACUUCAUUCACACCUUUCUAUAUUCACAAGUAUGUGAUUCUACAAUUAGCAAAUCAAAUUUUGUGAUGGUUGAGAAUGGUAGUUACGAACAAUUUCCAUGGGAGAAGAGUUCAUUUGAAAAGCUUAUUGCAUUGUGGAGACAUGACUUUUUUGUUGCGCAACAGUUAUACUCGAUGGGGGGAAUGCCUCAUGUGCUGAAUGUUUGGAUGUAUGAAUGUUGUUCUGAGGUAGACAGUACGAUAGCCAAGCGGGUGGGAAAUGUAAUUCCCCAAAUUUUCAACUGGCAGGUGGUUGGAAUCAAAGUUAGGUACGAGAAAUUUAUGGUUGGUAUGUUCGGCAAGGUAAGUAUGAUGUAUAUUAUUUCGAUCUUAGUUUUAAUUUUCAACGUGCUUACUUUAACAGACUGUUAAUGUUGCUAUUUUUUAUUGUUUAACAUUUUAUAUUCAACGAUAUACGACCAACUUAUGAAGAAGUACAAACUCUUAUUUUGCAAAUGAUUGAGGAAUUUCAAUUAAAAGAAGCUGAAAGUGAAUUUCUUUCAGAAAUUGCUGUAGAUUGUUCCGAUAAAAGACCUGCUAUCGACGUACAGUCACAAGUGGACCUCGAUAUACAAGGUUUUGAGGAAUUUAGUACGGUCCUUCCUAUAGAAAUUCUCAAGAAGACAGGUUUGAUUACUGAUGCUUCAACAUCUCAUCUGACAAAAAAGCGAAAAACAGUCUGUUUUGAUUCCACAAUUGCCGAGGAGCAAGUUUGUUAGAAAACACCAUCUUUUGUUUCAACAAGAACUGUGCCAACCUAAAAAACAGCUUCUUCAGGUUCGGAGCGUAUUCAUGCCGAAAAGACAACUCUAUCAUCGUCACUCAAGUCAGUUUGUCAGAACAAUUCUGAUGAAAAGUGGGAUGAUAUAAAGUUAUUUUUGCAAUCUUAUGUUGACACAAAAAUCAGCUUUCUUCAUGAUCUAAUAGUCAAACAUCAUCAAGACUCAAAUGAAAAAAAUGGAUAAACAACAUGCCGAACUCAUCCAAAUGUUGAAACACAACAACCAAGAAAAUGAAAAGGUUCAUGUUUUGGAUGGUUCAACUGUCGGAGAAAAAUCAACACAAGCUCAAGUAGACGAGAUGGAUAUCAUGCAGAAUAUUGAAAGCAUAUAAAAAGGGGUACUUUUUUAAACAUACAUUAUUAUUAGAUCAGGUUGAUGUUAUCACAUUUUUUCUAAAGAAUAUACUAUAUUAUUUCAACACCAUCAACAAGAGGGAGAAGAAAAAAUAGGAAAUGUACCAUCUAAAGAAGAUGUUGAAGAUAUUAAAAUCUUCAAAACCUUGAAAGAAAAGGGGAAAAAGGUAUUUACUCACAAGUGAUAAUUAUACAUACUUCGUUACAUAUAUUACUUUUUCGUUACUUCUUUAAUUUUAUGAUUUUUAUCCAGCUUAGAAUUUGGUAUAAAUUGAAUGUUGUUUAACGACAGUUAAAUUUGCGUUACAAUGUAUACAUAUUGUAUUAUAUGUAUAUUAUUAUAAUAUACAAAUAUGCAGCACAACACAAAUUAUGAAAGCAAUUAACAUAAAAAAUAAUAAUUAUUUUUUAUUCGUAGAUUUUCAACGAGACAGAUAAAUCAACAGACGUAUACUCUGCCGAUGAUCCAAUGAAUGGUCACUAUUUUGAUUGGAACCGCAGUCCCAUACAACAACAAUCACAGGAUGUCAAAGGAUGCAGUGAGGAUAAUGCUACUGCCAGCCUAGAUGCUCUUGUAGAAUCCGUGGUAAAUUACAAUUCCGACAACACCAAUGUUGGAACAUCUACUACUGUGCAUGUCCAUAAUGAUCAUAUGGAUGUUGAAGGAGUUAGUGCUGAUAUUGGGCCUGCCACAUUGGAAUGUCUAGUCGCAGCUGUGAAAAACUAAAAACCUGAUAAUGAUAAUGAUAAUGUUGGAACAUCUAAUAUGCAGGUUGAUUAUUCGAGUACACUUUCUGAAUCGGAUCAAGUCGAGUUAGAUGGGAUAUUGAAAGUUAUUGCAGCACCAGUUGAUGACGUUCCUAUAGAAGUAGUUCCAUCAGCAGGACCAAUUGUGAACCAACACGACAUCUCUGAUUGUCAGCUUUCUCUUGAUUUUUCUGAUGCUGUUGUCGCGGCUCAUCAAGAUGCAAAAACCCCUGCUAAGGUUGCUAAGAGAAUCAGGAUGAGAUCCAAAGUUUUCAAGUCUCCAUAAACAACAAAAUAUGCUUCUGGAUCUAAAACAAUUGAGGAUCAGAUCGAAGAACAGAAACAACAAUUCGCUUUUGAUGAUUUUCUAAUAUCUGACACUAUGCCAAGCAGUGUAAUUGAAGAUUUCAAACAGUGAGUGGAGGAAGGAUUAUUGAAGUUUCAUGUUAAAAAAAAAUAUGAUGAUGAUCCCUACAAAGCAAAAUCAUCUUCGCUAGGAGUUCAUGAAAUUGAUUUUGUGGUUGCUCAUGCACGGACAGAAAAUUGAUUUUACUUGAUGUCUUAAAAGAAAACGUGUUGGAACAAUGAGCAUAUUGAUGUCAUUUUCUAUCAUUUGCGGAAGAAAUCGAAAUUAAGGAGCGAUCAAGAUUACAGGUUCACAACAACCAACUAUUUUUUCAAGAACUACAUUGACAAGACAUACUCCAUAUACUAUGAAGACGAUACAGAUACAGUCCUGACUACACAACAAGAUUAUGUUGAAUCUGUUCACGUUGUUCUAAUUGAAGAGGCAAUAACACAUAUAAUCAAGGGAUAUUGCAUGCCAUCUGGUUUACCAUGGCACCAAGUUGAUGAGGUGUAUGUUCCUAUCAAUUGCAAUGAGAAUUUUCACUGGGUGUUAGCCGUUAUUGCCCUGAAGGAUAAACGCAUACGCGUCUACGAUUCGCUGUCCAGACGAAGAAGCACAAAAUCAAUUACUGAGAUUCAAAGUUGGCUAAGAUGCUGCCAACUUACCUCUCUGACAAUAAUUUUUAUGAUGAAACAUCUCGUACAGAUUGGCCUAAUCUUGAAACAUAUAGGGAUAAGAUUACUCAGACGAUACAAAUUCUAAAUGAACAUACCUUUGACGUUGAGUAUGUUCAACAUAUUAUGCAAAAAGAAAGCGACAGUGUGUAUGACAGGGAUUGUGGAGUCUUUGUUGUUGGUUAUGCAGAAUACCUAAGUGAAGAAAUGAACGUGCCUUCUGAUGGUUUUGAAGCUUUAUACCGUAGAAUGCGUUACGCCAUACUACUUUGAAAAUAUGGUAUUCAAAAAGCAAAGAAAGGUUAUAUUAGUGAAAAUGAUGACCCUCC